rnacentral:rRNA from 1 species
UACGUAGGGGGCAAGCGUUAUCCGGAUUUACUGGGUGUAAAGGGAGCGUAGGCGGCGAUGCAAGUCAGAAGUGAAAGCCCGGGGCUCAACUCCGGGACUGCUUUUGAAACUGUGUUGCUAGAUUGCAGGAGAGGUAAGUGGAAUUCCUAGUGUAGCGGUGAAAUGCGUAGAUAUUAGGAGGAACACCAGUGGCGAAGGCGGCUUACUGGACUGUAAAUGACGCUGAGGCUUGAAAGCGUGGGGAGCAAACAGG